UUUUAUAGUAUUUAUUAAUUAUUUAUUAUGCACAUACAAAAUAAGUUACUAGUAGAUCACAAUAAUUGUUGGUUUCAGGGUCACAGGUUACAUUUAACUAGAUGUCAGACACACACACACACACAAGUUAUUUCUUCAUGACGAAGCAAUCAAUCAAAGAUCAAAGGAUUGAUUGCCUCAUAACUUACAAAUAAGGCUGUAUCUGUAUGUAUCUACAAAUUGUAGUAAGUUGCAUACGCACAUCAUCAACAACACUUAUCUUUGAAGGGAUUUCCACUAUGACCUCAUAUCAUCACUACCUCAAUUCCUCAGCUUUUAAAUUUGAUUGGCGGUGAAUGGGUGUGUCUACCUCUGACACUAACUACUCAGUGCAGAGCUUCAUCUUCAUCCACAACAUGUAUGUGUCGUCUUACAUAACUAGUAUGUGAUAAGAUUAGUUUUAACAUUCUUAUCAUGGUUGUGUAUAUGCCCCACAAUGUCAUGCAGCCACAUCAUUCUUUCCCUCUUUGGAUAAUAUAACCGCAUGUUUUGAAUUGUGUACUUGAAGUGAAUCUCUCACAAGACUAUUAAUUGAGAAAACGACAAAGCAAAAUUUAGAAAAUUUUAUCCUGGUAUAUCCUUUCCUAUCAUGAGAUGGAUAUGUGCUAAAGUAGUUGUAGAUAAGUAACAAUUUGCUUUGCUGUGUUGUAGUUUCAUUAUUCGUCCAAACAACCAAUAUAUUGACUAUUAUUGUAAAGUUUAACAUGAAGUGAUCAUGACUUGAGAUAAACUUUGUUUAUCAUAAUUGCUUACAAAAAUAUCACAAGUGUUCUGUGAAAGGUGCUAAUGGGAAUAUUCCACUAUAGAAAACUGUUUUCAACACAAUAAAAAAAUACAGAAUAGUUUAAUAGGGAAUUAUCAUCUACUUUUUUUAAUCCUAACAAAUUUCUUAUGUUGUUAGUUGAACUUCUCCUUAAUUGAAUUAUUGUGGAAGAUAAGUUUCCAUAGUAAAAUAAGGUGCGGUGGACUACACUCUUUUGGUGGUCCAGUACUUGGUUCACCAGUACAUCCCUAGAAAAAAUUAACUCACUGCAAGGAAAACAAUUAACACCUGCACAUUGUAAACUUGACAGUGAAUUCCAAGCCACAAUAUGAAACUAGAGAAUUGGCAAUAACAUGAAAAUAAUAGAAUAAGCUCACGCCUCUGAUCCUGAUCCAACAGACAACCACAACAACUAACAUUAAAAACUAAGCAGAGAACGAUUCCUACAAAUACAUCAAAAUAGGAAGAAAAAAUAAAUAGAAUACUUGUUGGGAGAUCCUUCCUUCUUUCAUAGUAAUAUAAUUUUUAAAAGCCACCAAAGUGUUUUGAACUUGGGGUUCGAAAUGGGUAUACUUAUCAUUAACGUAUUAAAACAAAUAAAUGACUUACGGUUUAUCUUCCUAAUUCUAGUUUUUAUAAAUAGAUAGAGAGAAAAAAAAAGUUGAAAGAAGAAGUCUUGGCCAAUGCUCACUACAAAGCCACAACUCCAAGUAUCGGUUUACUUAGAAACGUUUCAAAAUCCCUUUGUUCUCUUUACCUUUCUACUUCCCUAUAUAUCGAACUGAAAAUUAGACAUGCACAUCUCCCAAUUCUACAUGUACUUUUCAUUUCCCCAUUAAUUAAUACCUAAUAAUUGAACAAGCUAUGAAAAUGGAUCCAAAUAUUAAUAUCAUGGCACGACAUAGUGUUCCUUAUCAUUGCUACUGCUACUUUAAACAAAUAAUUAACAUACACAUAUACAUCUUCCAAAACAGUUUUCCAUUUUUAACAUAUUAAAGUAAGAUACUGACAAGCUUAAAGAGACAAAAGUUGUUAGGAGCAUAAAUUGGCGUUGGAAUAGAAAUAAAAUAGGGUAGUGGUAGAUUGCCUAUUUUAGUGGGUCGUCGUGAAGGCGACUUGCGUGCUACUGAGAUGGAGAGGGGUUCAUAGCAUAAUAGCAAAGUUAUUGCUUUCUGGGAAACAAAUAUGGGGAGGUGAGGUGGAGAGAGGCUUACAUGCAUACUACAUGCUUACACUGACUAAAAGUUUUAAACUUUACAAACUCCAAAUCUUGUAGGAGUGGAUUGAAGUGAUGGGUCAUGGUACAAACUCCAAAUCUUUAUUAAGUGCCAAAUCAAUGGCAGCAUGGUUGCUGCCAUUGUUGGUAGCAAGCCUCCAAGUAAGUGUGGUAGCCAACUUUGACUUCUUCUCUUCACUUUAACUUGAAGAAGACCACUCUUCAAUCCAAAUAGAUGAGACCCCUCUUGAUAGAACCGUAAAUUCAGAUAAUUGAAACUGUAUUAUAUAUGGAAAAGUGAUGAACUCAAGAAAGAGCUCUUACAAUUGUGGAAAUGCAAAGAUAGGAUAAAACCAGAGUUCAAGAACUCCUAAUCAGAGCAAGAUGCUCCUACCUUUACCAGAGAGAAAUCUCACCUAACAAUUCUAACCAUAAUUCCCAAUGCCUUCCCCACUCUCCUUCCCUCUCUCUUAUAACAGAAUUCUCUAGAAUUUAAGAACAAUUAUAACUAACUACCAAUUCAGUAUCCUAUUGGGCUAAGGCCCAAAUCCUAUCCUAUCACCUCUUUAGAUCUACACUGAAGAUACACUGUUCAAAGACUCCUCUUACUCAACACACAUACACCCAAAAACUAAAAGUAAAAAACACGAGAGAAUGAAAAUCACAAAUCUAAAACAGAAAAUUGAACCGAAAAUCAAAUCAUUAUUGUAACAACAACAACAAUCUAAUAAAAGUAGCUCAGAUCAGCACCGAAAGUUUAGCAAGUAAAUUUUUAAAUGCAUGAUGAAAGUUGUAGUAGAAGUAAGAAAUGCAGUGGAGGAAUUGGGAAGGGGUAAAAGAGAAUGAAACCUUGAAUGAAUGCAAAUGCAUCUGCGUGUCCAUUGGAUUUCGUAGAAGAUAAGAGAGAGACCAAACACCACCAUUUGGCUUUGGUAGGAGAAAAUAGAACAAGUAUAGUUGUACCUAUUUUUUUAUUUUAAAAUUUUUGCUAUUUCCAUUUUUAACUGUACCUAUUUUUAUGUUCAUGGAAAAUAGUAUGCAUAGUUUUGGUGGUGUGGGUGUGAGUGCAUCAGCUUAUAAGCUCACAGGUUGGCCUCAGCUUCACAUUCACUCUACUCAAUAGAACCAGAAGUUAAAAGUUGAGAUAAAUUAAAAUAGUAAUCCCUCCUUUAAUUAAUAACUACAGUUUCGUCUGUUGAACCUAGUAAUUCCUACAAAAGAGUUCAAACUUGGAAUGAAAGCA
rnacentral:lncRNA from 1 species